AAGACAGGAUGAGAACAAUGCUGCCGAGAAGCUUAGCAGGUAAGAAGAGGAAAAACUAUCAAUUUCUAGGAAGUGGUUUUUAAAAAAGCUACUCAGGUUGUUGGAAUGGAACAUUUAUUUAAUGACAAGAAUGUGCAAUGCCCAUAGAUGAGAAGUCCCAGUCAGCAUGCACAAAAUAUGCAUUUUAUGCUGGGAAGUGGUGGUACAUGCCUUUAAUUCCAGUACUCUCGAGAGACAGUGGCAGGCAGAUCUUUAUGAAUUCAAGACUAGCCUGGUCUAUGGAGUGGAGUGUGGCUCAGGACAGCCAGCUGUUACAGAGAAACUCUGUCUCAAAAACAAGACAAACAAGCAAACACAAACGCAUUUUGCAACACAUAAUCACCUUAUCUCCUGUUCCUAAGAAGUACUGCCACCUGAUGGACACUCCAGUCCACUGCCUGGAAGCCCAACUGUCUCUAGCAACAGC
rnacentral:lncRNA from 1 species